rnacentral:rRNA from 1 species
UGGGGAAUAUUGGACAAUGGGCGCAAGCCUGAUCCAGCAAUGCCGCGUGGGUGAAGACGGCCUGCGGGUUGUAAAGCCCUUUGAGCGGGGAGGAACGACAGGAGGCGAAUACCCUUUUGAAGUGACGUUACCCGCAGAACAAGCACCGGCUAACUCCGUGCCAGCAGCCGCGGUAAUACGGAGGGUGCGAGCGUUAAUCGGAAUUACUGGGCGUAAAGCGUGCGUAGGCGGUUUGGUCAGUCAGCCGUGAAAGCCCUGGGCUUAACCUGGGAAUGGCGGUUGAGACGGCCAGACUAGAGUGGGCUAGAGGAUCGUGGAAUUCCGGGUGUAGCAGUGAAAUGCGUAGAGAUCCGGAGGAACACCGAUGGCGAAGGCAGCGAUCUGGGGCCACACUGACGCUGAGGCACGAAAGCGUGGGGAGCAAACAGG